rnacentral:rRNA from 1 species
CUACGGGAGGCAGCAGUGAGGGAUAUUGCACAAUGGGCGAAAGCCUGAUGCAGCGACGCCGCGUGGGUGAAGAAGGCCUUCGGGUCGUAAAGCCCUUUUCCCACUGAAGAGGAAGGACGGUAAGUGGGGAAUAAGUCUCGGCUAACUACGUGCCAGCAGCCGCGGUAAAACGUAGGAGGCAAGCGUUAUCCGGAGUUACUGGGCGUAAAGAGCGCGCAGGCGGUUCGAUAAGUGGGUCGUGAAAGCUCCCGGCUAAACUGGGAGAGGACGAUUCAGACUGUCGGGCUAGAGGAUGGUAGAGGGGCGUGGAAUUCCGGGUGUAGCGGUGAAAUGUGUAGAGAUCCGGAGGAACACCAGUGGUGCAGACGGCGCCCUGGGCCACACCUGACGCUGAGGCGCGAAAGCUUGGGGAGCGAACGGGAUUAGAAACCCUUGUAGUCC